CAGGCUUGCUUGGACGAAAACACUAGAUCUUGCCACUGUCCUUCCUGCAACAGCCAUACACACAUAUCCAAAUAACAUAACCAGGCAGUCCACACCUUCACAGUAGCAUACAAUCCAUACAAGACAAGAAACAUGGCUGGAACAUAUAAAUUUACGAAAAGUACUAACUACCCUAGCUUUCCUUCCCUGGAAAUAAGCUAGUACAAGACUCCCACACUAAAACAGUGGAAUUCGUGAAUAGUGAAUAAAGUUACAACUGCAGAAAAUGGGCCAAGAACACUGGAGUUAUUGAGCUUGACAAGUGGUGGGCAGAACAACAUGGUCUAACAGACUUGGAGUUUCUUAACCUGUACCUUCCAGUGGAAUAAAGAGUGAGCUCAAGUUGUGUACAAAUUGAGUUCACGUGUUUGACUAGAAGCUAAAGCUUGUAAACCUGUUGCUGGCUACCUCAAGGACUGAAUUAAACUAUUGCUAACAGUUAAUAGACCAGUUCUAAAUAGAAGUUCCAUAAUGUAUUAAGUUAACAAUGAAGGGAUCGAUGGAGUAGUAACCAAAUCAAUUCUCCUCUGUGGGGUGAGUAUCCAUGCCUUUUCUGCAACAAUUACCCAACCAAGGUUAGCUUUUUCUCUGUCAAUGGACACCCUAUGCAUUAGUGAUUUACAGAGUAUCUGGAUAGCAUUUAAUUGGUGCGGCAAAGCUAUAUAAUUUUUGUGGCAUUAUGCAGAUUGUGGGGCACUUUCUGUUAAUUGGGUUGCUUAUGAUGAAAACUGAAACAAAUAAAAGAAGAAAACGAUUCACUCAAAUAGGACUGAACUAGAAAAAAUACUUCCAUUGAACUGAAUUGUUUUUAGUUUAUACAGUUGAAAAUAAUUCAAAAUUUUGAACUCUUAGGUUCAGUUUGGUUUGAAAAACUAUGGUUAGGUUGAAUGAAUCAAACUAGGAAACAUUUAUUUCCAAACUGAAGAUUCUUUAACUGGGUAAUCUGCUAAGAAUGAAUAGGCUUUUAACUCCCUAGUAGAAUUUGUGACUCAGUUUUGAUAAAUUUUGUCAUCAUACAAACUUUCGCAUGUAUUAAUUAAUGUGAAAGUAUAGAGCCAGAAUAGAAUUUCACCACAUCACUGGUGUGUCCUUGCUAACAGUUAAGGAAGUGUAAUAAUGCACUUUCUUAAUCCCAAACUAUCCCAAACAAACACAAAGUUUUCGGUGCAACCAUAUGCCCCGGAGUCUGAUUCCAUUUGGUCGGGGUGUCUAUCCUUGUCUUUCAUUAAUCUAAGAAAGGGGAGUGCUUGCAAAUGGUAAUGCACUUUCUUACAUAGUGUUUGCAAUUGGUUAUCAAAUUUGUUGAAGGCUUGGGCAUAGGGGACCUAACUACGUCACUGACUAUUCUAAGAAAGUUAAAAAUGAGUAAAUCAAGUUUUUAUUCACUUGUACAUAUCUUGGAUAGAAUUUUUUUUUUUCAAAAAUGCAAUUUCAAGUUCAACCCGUGGAAAAGUGGCAGUGUUUAGAGCUUGCUGCAGAAAAAUACAAAAAAAG